rnacentral:rRNA from 1 species
CACGUAGGGUGCGAGCGUUGUCCGGAAUUAUUGGGCGUAAAGAGCUCGUAGGCGGUCUGUUACGUCCGCUGUGAAAACCCAGGGCUUAACCCUGGGCUUGCAGUGGAUACGGGUAGACUAGAGGCAGGUAGGGGAGAAUGGAAUUCCCGGUGUAGCGGUGAAAUGCGCAGAUAUCGGGAGGAACACCGGUGGCGAAGGCGGUUCUCUGGGCCUGACCUGACGCUGAGGAGCGAAAGCGUGGGGAGCGAACAGG